rnacentral:lncRNA from 1 species
UGGUUUGGACCCUAAUCUCAGUUUCUAAUUUUUCGGCCUCUCUCAUUUUAUUUGGAUGAAUAUUAAGGUCCAUCAGCGCCUUUACCAAUGCCAUGCGUAGUGCUUCAGGAAGUUCUACCGCUUCCUCAAUAUUGAAGUGCGAUGGUGAAUCCUAUACUUGUGUCAGGACCUUUUGCUCUUCAUGAGUUUCAGAUCUUCCUUCCAAG